rnacentral:tRNA from 2 species
UGGAAGAUACUGCUCAUGGGAGGGCAACCAGUCUCGAAAGCUGGAGCAGGGCAACACCUGGGGGUUCGAUGCCUCUAUCUUCCGU